AUGACAACAGAACCCACAACAACCAUGACUUUUAUCACCAUCUUCAUCUGUACACUUGUUUUCUGCUUCCAAGAAUCUAGUGGACAGUACACUGUGACUCAGACUCCUGCUGUGAAAGCUGUUCUCCCAGGACAGUCAGUCUCUCUGAACUGUAAAACCAGCAGUAAUGUGCAUGGAUAUAACCACCUAGCCUGGUACCAACAGAAAGCUGGAGGAGCUCCUAAACUCCUUAUUUACUAUGCUACAACACUUCAGUCUGGGACUCCAUCUAGAUUCAGUGGCAGUGGAUCUGGGAGUGACUUCACUCUGACCAUCAGUGGAGUCCAGGCUGAAGAUGCAGGAGAUUACUACUGUCAGAGUUUCCACAAUCCCAACAGUGCCUGGGUUUUCACACAGUGAUACAGAGCCGUACAAAAACCUCCCUCAGUCAGACUGUACACUGACUGUACUGAUACAGCUGGGAUCUACUGCAGGUGCUGAGGAGGAAGAGACAGAGACAUAGAACACUGAUCAGUAGAUGAGGUCAACUGUGACAUGUGACAAUAUGGUUAGAAAGACAUUAUUCAGAUCACAUGAAAAUUAUUAACAUUAUCAUCAUGGUUAUAAUUUAUAUUAUCUUUUAUCAUGGUCUGAAAGUGUGUAUAAACGUUAUUUGAAGUUAUGAAACACAUUAUCUGUCCAUAUGUAAAGCAAGAUCUACAGGAGGUAAACAAAAGGUGUUAUGACCUCAACAUUAUUUCAAAGUUACAAUCACUUCAGCCCCCCAAAACAAGUCCUCAUAUGGACCUCAACCAAAUGUCUGAUUUAAAUGGAAGUGAUCUUCUAGCAUUAUAUUAACUGUUUUAUGAGCAGAUUACUUACUAUUCGAUCUGUGAAUGAGACAUGAUGCUCAGCCAUGAGACAACAAUAGACACUACAUACACCAUAUAUCAGGGUUAGGGUAAAUUCCAUUUACAUUCCAGUCAAUUCAGGAAGUAUACUGAAACUCCAAUUCCAUUUUUUUUUAUUUCAAUUGGAGUUUGGUUAACUUUUUGAGUUGACUGGAAUUUAAAUGGAAUUAACCCCAACCCUGCAAUCUACACUCCACUAUCUACACUACAUACACUAUCCUAAUAUAUAAAGUAUAAUAUCCAUUUUAUCUGUCAUUAAUUACAUGGUGGCAUAUCUGUUAUGUCUCCCUCAACGAAUCCACGAUAUAGAUGAAAAAUCGAUCCACUCCCUCACAUCUGGCCCAGUCCAGGGUAUUUCAGGCAAUGAAAUUGGUCAACUGCUAGACUGAUAGCUGUCGGAGUGAAAUUGAGAGUUUCAUAGACAAGGAUGGGUGGUUCUGCUUGUCCCAGAAUAGAGCAGCACUGUCACCAGACAUUCACCCUGUCCCCAGGGGCUUGGAGGUAAAGAAGACUCUACUCUAUACCCUGAAGUAGUGGCACAUGUAAUAUUAGUAAUUUUAAAUGUUUUAUUUAUCUUAAAAUCACAGACUAUAACACACGUGAGAGUCCAAGAUAUCGGUUGACUGUUUGAUAGUUAUUUUAUUACUGUAAAGUCUGCCUAGUCAAACAGGUCUGACACAGACUCAGUAUCCUGAUGAAUACAGACAGUCAUCAACUACUACCAUGGCAGAACCUCUUCUAUUAUAUCAAAGUAUAUUGUGAUAGUAGUAAUUUCUGGUCAAUGAUGAUGUUCAGUGAGAAUGUUUUCAAGGACACCAUUAAUCAGCCUUACUGAAUAUAUUUAUUUUGUGUUUGAAAACUUCCGACUUCAACUGUGUAUUUCACUGGUCCUCCCCAAAGCCAUCUCCUACUUUGGCUGCCUUUCCUUCCAGUUCCCUGCUGCCA